rnacentral:rRNA from 1 species
GGCAGGCUUAACACAUGCAAGUCGAGCGGUAGCACAGGGGAGCUUGCUCCCUGGGUGACGAGCGGCGGACGGGUGAGUAAUGUCUGGGAAACUGCCUGAUGGAGGGGGAUAACUACUGGAAACGGUAGCUAAUACCGCAUAACGUCGCAAGACCAAAGAGGGGGACCUUCGGGCCUCUUGCCAUCAGAUGUGCCCAGAUGGGAUUAGCUAGUAGGUGGGGUAAUGGCUCACCUAGGCGACGAUCCCUAGCUGGUCUGAGAGGAUGACCAGCCACACUGGAACUGAGACACGGUCCAGACUCCUACGGGAGGCAGCAGUGGGGAAUAUUGCACAAUGGGCGCAAGCCUGAUGCAGCCAUGCCGCGUGUGUGAAGAAGGCCUUCGGGUUGUAAAGCACUUUCAGCGAGGAGGAAGGUGGUGAACUUAAUACGUUCAUCAAUUGACGUUACUCG